GGAUUAACGCUGGCGGCGUGCAUAACACAUGCAAGUCGAACGAUGAAACUUAACUGAUUUCUUCGGAAUGAUUUUAAGUGGAUUAGUGGCGGACGGGUGAGUAACGCGUGAGUAACCUGCCUUGGAGAAGGGGAUAGCCUUUGGAAACGAAGAAUAAUACCCUAUGAUAUGAUAAUAUCUCAUGAUAUUAUCAUCAAAGAUUUAUCGCUCUAAGAUGGACUUGCGUCUGAUUAGUUAGUUGGUGAGGUAACAGCUCACCAAGGCAGCGAUCAGUAGCCGGCUUGAGAGAGUGUACGGCCACAUUGGGACUGAGACACGGCCCAGACUCCUACGGGAGGCAGCAGUGGGGAAUUUUGCACAAUGGGGGAAACCCUGAUGCAGCGACGCCGCGUGAUUUAGAAGGCCUUCGGGUUGUAAAAAUCUUUUGUAUGGGAAGAAAAUGACAGUACCAUACGAAUAAGGACCGGCUAAUUACGUG
rnacentral:rRNA from 1 species